GCUUAGCCUUAAGCCUUCAAUUACACCCCAAACGCCAGGGAACUACGAGCAAAGCUUAAAACCCAAGGGACUUGACGGUACCCCACAUCCCCCUAGAGGAGCCUGUCCUAUAAUCGAUAACCCCCGUUCAACCUCACCAUCUUUAGCCUAUCAGUCUGUAUACCUCCGUCGUCAGUUUACCGCAUGAGUGCCCUAAAGUAAACCAAAUGUCCUCACCCGUCAACACGUCAGGUCAAGGUGCAGCUAACAAGAUGGGAAGAGAUGGGCUACACUCUCUAAUAUAGAGCACACAGAGAAUUUAUAUGAAACCCAGUUCAAAGGUGGAUUUAGCAGUAACAGGGGUAAUAGCACCCCUUUUAAGCAGGCCCUGGGGUGUGUACACACCGCCCGUCACCCUCCUCGCAGCUCUCGCAAAAGUAUUUUACAAAUCCCAGCAUCGUAGAGGAGGUAAGUCGUAACAUGGUAAGUGCACCGGAAGGUGCGCUUGGAAA
rnacentral:rRNA from 1 species